rnacentral:rRNA from 1 species
GACGAACGCUGGCGGCGUGCCUAAUACAUGCAAGUCGAGCGAGCUUGCCUAGAUGAUUUUAGUGCUUGCACUAAAUGAAACUAGAUACAAGCGAGCGGCGGACGGGUGAGUAACACGUGGGUAACCUGCCCAAGAGACUGGGAUAACACCUGGAAACAGAUGCUAAUACCGGAUAACAACACUAGACACACGUCUAGAGUUUAAAAGAUGGUUCUGCUAUCACUCUUGGAUGGACCUGCGGUGCAUUAGCUAGUUGGUAAGGUAACGGCUUACCAAGGCAAUGAUGCAUAGCCGAGUUGAGAGACUGAUCGGCCACAUUGGGACUGAGACACGGCCCAAACUCCUACGUGAGGCAGCAGUAGGGAAUCUUCCACAAUGGACGCAUGUCUGAUGGAGCAACGCCGCGUGAGUGAAGAAGGGUUUCGGCUCGUAAAGCUCUGUUGGUAGUGAAGAAAGAUAGAGGUAGUAACUGGCCUUUAUUUGACGGUAAUUACCUAGAAAGUCACGGCUAACUACGUGCCAGCAGCCGCGGUAAUACGUAGGUGGCAAGCGUUGUCCGGAUUUAUUGGGCGUAAAGCGAGUGCAGGCGGUUCAAUAAGUCUGAUGUGAAAGCCUUCGGCUCAACCGGAGAAUUGCAUCAGAAACUGUUGAACUUGAGUGCAGAAGAGGAGAGUGGAACUC